rnacentral:rRNA from 1 species
GGAUUCUACCGUUGGUCGGGCUAACAAGUCUGUACUGGUGUGUAGAAUUUCUACCUUCUGGGGAACUAUCAUGUUAUUAAUUUAGCGUGGUGGGAAACCAGGACCUUUACCUUGAAAAAAUUAGAGUGUUCAAAGCAGGCUUACGUCUGAAUACAUUAGCAUGGAAUAAUAGAAUAGGACGGUGGUCCUGUUUUGUUGGUUUCUGAAUCACCGUAAUGAU